GAUGAACGCUGGCGGCGUGCCUAACACAUGCAAGUCGAGCGAUGAAAUUUCCUUCGGGAAAUGGAUUAGCGGCGGACGGGUGAGUAACACGUGGGUAACCUGCCUCAUAGUGGGGGAUAGCCUUCCGAAAGGGAGAUUAAUACCGCAUAACAUCAUUAGAUGGCAUCAUUUAGUGAUCAAAGGAUUUAUUCGCUAUGAGAUGGACCCGCGUCGCAUUAGCUAGUUGGUAGGGUAAUGGCUUACCAAGGCGACGAUGCGUAGCCGACCUGAGAGGGUGAUCGGCCACAUUGGGACUGAGACACGGCCCAGACUCCUACGGGAGGCAGCAGUGGGGAAUAUUGCACAAUGGGGGAAACCCUGAUGCAGCAACGCCGCGUGAGUGAUGACGGUCUUCGGGAUUGUAAAGCUCUGUCUUUGGGGACGAUAAUGACGGUACCCAAGGAGGAAGCCACGGCUAACUAC
rnacentral:rRNA from 1 species